AGUGAACGCUGGCGGUAGGCCUAACACAUGCAAGUCGAACGGCAGCACAGUAAGAGCUUGCUCUUACGGGUGGCGAGUGGCGGACGGGUGAGGAAUACAUCGGAAUCUACUUUUUCGUGGGGGAUAACGUAGGGAAACUUACGCUAAUACCGCAUACGACCUACGGGUGAAAGCAGGGGAUCUUCGGACCUUGCGCGAUUGAAUGAGCCGAUGUCGGAUUAGCUAGUUGGCGGGGUAAAGGCCCACCAAGGCGAGGAUCCGUAGCUGGUCUGAGAGGAUGAUCAGCCACACUGGAACUGGGACACGGUCCAGACCCCUAGGGGGGGCAGGAGGGGGGAAUUUUGGAAAAUGGGCGAAACCCUGACCCAGCCAUCCCGCGGGGGUGAAGAAGGCCUUCGGGUUGUAAAGCCUUUUUGUUGGGAAAAAAAAGAAGCAGGUUAAUACCCCGCUGUUCUGACGGUACCCAAAGAAUAAGCACCGGCUAACUUCGU
rnacentral:rRNA from 1 species